AGGUGGAGGUGGUGGUGGAGAAGGAGGAGGUGGAGCAGCGGACCAGGAACCACUGGUGGAGGGCUGAGCCGGUGGUGGAGGAGAAGGAGGAGGUGGAGCAGCGGACCAGGAACCACUGGUGGAGGGCUGAGCCGGUGGUGGUGGAGAAGGAGGAGGUGGAGCAGCGGACCAGGAACCACUGGUGGAGGGCUGAGCCGGUGGUGGAGGAGAAGGAGGAGGUGGAGCAGCGGACCAGGAACCACUGGUGGAGGGCUGAGCCGGUGGUGGUGGAGAAGGAGGAGGUGGAGCAGCGGACCAGGAACCACUGGUGGAGGGCUGAGCCGGUGGUGGAGAAGGAGGAGGUGGAGCAGCGGACCAGGAACCACUGGUGGAGGGCUGAGCAGGUGGUAGUGAAAUGAGGGCAGAGAAGAGCUCCAGACUAGCCUCGGUGUCGUCUGUGAAGCCCUCAUCCUCUGCCUCGUCGCCCAGGUCCUCCAGCAGCUGCUCCGUCUCCUCCCCUCAGGAUCCAUGUCCUGCAUGCACUUCCCC
ensembl:lncRNA